GAUGAACGCUGGCGGCGUGCCUAAUACAUGCAAGUCGAGCGAACAGAUGAGGAGCUUGCUCCUCUGACGUUAGCGGCGGACGGGUGAGUAACACGUGGAUAACCUACCUAUAAGACUGGGAUAACUUCGGGAAACCGGAGCUAAUACCGGAUAAUAUAUUGAACCGCAUGGUUCAAUAGUGAAAGACGGUUUUGCUGUCACUUAUAGAUGGAUCCGCGCCGCACUAGCUAGUUGGUAAGGUAACGGCUUACCAAGGCAGCGAUGCGUAGCCGACCUGAGAGGGUGAUCGGCCACACUGGAACUGAGACACGGUCCAGACUCCUACGGGAGGCAGCAGUAGGGAAUCUUCCGCAAUGGGCGAAAGCCUGACGGAGCAACGCCGCGUGAGUGAUGAAGGUCUUCGGAUCGUAAAACUCUGUUAUUAGGGAAGAACAAAUGUGUAAGUAACUAUGCACGUCUUGACGGUACCUAAUCAGAAAGCCACGGCUAACUACGUG
rnacentral:rRNA from 1 species